rnacentral:misc_RNA from 1 species
GAGAGAGCUAAGCUGAGAACGGAAGAGACCAGAGACGGAGGUAAAAGUAAGCAAUCGAGUAGUUUCCCGUCUCUGACAGAGUGAGAAGAAGGAAAGAGAGAGCCUCAAAGGAGAUCGACUUAGGCGAGGGGGACGCUCGACGGUCGUCGGAGAUGAAGAGAAGUAGAGAACAGAGGGGGUUGGGUGAGCAGUCUAUUGAGGCUGCAACGAAGGAUUGAGCCUAGCGGCUUUGAGAGAUGGUGAGAGGUUAGGGUUUUCUUUU